rnacentral:tRNA from 1 species
UAUCAAUAAAGCUUUUAUUGAGUGUUAUUUUGAAAAAGUAAAGGAAAUUGUAUAAUUUGUUGAUAA